rnacentral:tRNA from 1 species
GGUGGUGUAGCUCAGUGGUAGAGUGCUUGCCUAGUAUGCGUGAGUCCUUGGUUUGAUCCCCAGAGUUGCCA